rnacentral:rRNA from 1 species
GCAUAUCAAUAAGCGGAGGAAAAGAAACCAACAGGGAUUGCCCUAGUAACGGCGAGUGAAGCGGCAACAGCUCAAAUUUGAAAUCUGGCUUCGGCCCGAGUUGUAAUUUGCAGAGGAAGCUUUAGGCGCGGCACUUUCUGAGUCCCCUGGAACGGGGCGCCAUAGAGGGUGAGAGCCCCGUAUAGUUAGAUGCCUAGCCUGUGUAAAGCUCCUUCGACGAGUCGAGUAGUUUGGGAAUGCUGCUCAAAAUGGGAGGUAAAUUUCUUCUAAAGCUAAAUACCGGCCAGAGACCGAUAGCGCACAAGUAGAGUGAUCGAAAGAUGAAAAGCACUUUGAAAAGAGGGUUAAAUAGCACGUGAAAUUGUUGAAAGGGAAGCGCUUGUGACCAGACUUGCGCCGGGCAGAUCAUCCGGUGUUCUCACCGGUGCACUCUGCCCGGCUCAGGCCAGCAUCGGUUCUCGCGGGGGGAUAAAGGCCCUGGGAACGUAGCUCCUCCGGGAGUGUUAUAGCCCGGGGCGUAAUGCCCUCGCGGGGACCGAGGUUCGCGCAUCUGCAAGGAUGCUGGCGUAAUGGUCAUCAGCGACCCGUCUUGAAACACGGACCAAGGAGUCAAGGUUUUGCGCGAGUGUUUGGGUGUAAAACCCGCACGCGUAAUGAAAGUGAACGUAGGUGAGAGCUUCGGCGCAUCAUCGACCGAUCCUGAUGUUUUCGGAUGGAUUUGAGUAGGAGCGUUAAGCCUUGGACCCGAAAGAUGGUGAACUAUGCUUGGAUAGGGUGAAGCCAGAGGAAACUCUGGUGGAGGCUCGCAGCGGUUCUGACGUGCAAAUCGAUCGUCAAAUCUGAGCAUGGGGGGCGAAAGACUAAUCGAACCAUCUAGUAGCUGGUUACCGCCGA